rnacentral:rRNA from 1 species
AUGUCGACCAGCAAGAGGAAGACGGCGUCGCCUCUGACGGAUCUCCCCGACCACCUCCUGACCGAGAUCCUCCUCCGGCUGCCCGCUCCGGCCGACCUCGCCCGCUUCUCCGCCCCCUGCGUCUCCUUCCGCCGACUCGCCACCGAGCGAUCCCUCCUCCGCCGCUUCCGCUGCCUCCACGAACCACCACUCCUCGGCUUCCUCGAGCGCGACGGGUUCCAUCCUGCCCUGCCGCCUCACCCUUCUGCACCCGCCGCCCGCGCGCUUGCCCUCGCCGCCGACUUUUCCUUCUCCUUCCUCCCCUCCCACUGCCGCUGGACUGUCCGGGACUGCCGCGACGGCCGCGUCCUCCUCAAUUCGGGGCUCACAGCCCUCUGUCUUCCAGGAGCUCGCCGUAUGCGACCCCUUGCACCGUCGGUACAUCUUGCUUCCCCCGGUACCUGA